UACAGAGGUGGCAAGCGUUGUUCGGAAUUACUGGGCGUAAAGGGCGCGUAGGUGGCCUUCUUAGUCAGACGUGAAAUCCCCGGGCUUAACUCGGGAACUGCGUCUGAUACUGGAAGGCUGGAGUUCGGGAGAGGAAUGUGGAAUUCCAGGUGUAGCGGUGAAAUGCGUAGAUAUCAGGAGGAACACCAGUGGCGAAGGCGGUGCUCUGGGCCGGAACUGACGCUGAGACGCGAAAGCGUGGGGAGCGAACAGG
rnacentral:rRNA from 1 species